AUUGAACGCUGGCGGCAGGCCUAACACAUGCAAGUCGAGCGGAUGAAGGGAGCUUGCUCCUGGAUUCAGCGGCGGACGGGUGAGUAAUGCCUAGGAAUCUGCCUGGUAGUGGGGGAUAACGUCCGGAAACGGGCGCUAAUACCGCAUACGUCCUGAGGGAGAAAGUGGGGGAUCUUCGGACCUCACGCUAUCAGAUGAGCCUAGGUCGGAUUAGCUAGUUGGUGGGGUAAAGGCCUACCAAGGCGACGAUCCGUAACUGGUCUGAGAGGAUGAUCAGUCACACUGGAACUGAGACACGGUCCAUACUCCUACGGGAGGCAGCAGUGGCGAAUAUUGGACAAUGGGCGAAAGCCUUAUCCAGCCAUGCCGCGUGUGUGAAGAAGGUCUUCGGAUUGUAAAGCACUUUAAGUUGGGAGGAAGGGCAGUAAGUUAAUACCUUGCUGUUUUGACGGUACCAACAGAAUAAGCACCGGCUAACUUCGUG
rnacentral:rRNA from 1 species